rnacentral:rRNA from 1 species
UACGUAGGGUGCAAGCGUUAUCCGGAAUUAUUGGGCGUAAAGAGCUCGUAGGUGGCCUGUCGCGUCGGCUGUGAAAACUCGGGGCUCAACUCCGAGCUUGCAGUCGAUACGGGCAGGCUAGAGUUCGGCAGGGGAGACUGGAAUUCCUGGUGUAGCGGUGAAAUGCGCAGAUAUCGGGAAGAACACCCGUGGCGAAGGCGGCUCUCUGGGACGGUACUGACGCUGAGACGCGAAAGCGUGGGGAGCGAACAGG